UUUGUUAUUUUGUGUUUAGGCAAAAGGAUGGAUGCCAACUCUACACACUUCUACUUCGUAAAUUUAUUACUUUCUUCGUAAUCCCAUCAUAUAAGUCAAGAUCAUUGCAGAGCCAAAGCCACCGUGAAGAUGCUUAUGUGACAGGAUUCUGGAUGUUCUCCGAUAAAUUCGCUACUCUCCCAGAAAGUUGGGUUCAGAAAGAAAAAAAUGGAACCAGAGGUGUCUUCUUAUUUGAUUUAUAUCCUGUUUCAAAUACCACAGUCAUCAUGCACAUGAACUUUUUU